AUUAUUAAAUAAAAAUAAUUUGAGGAAAGUCCGGGCUCCCAAAAGAUUCACACUUGCUGGGUAACUCCCAGUGCAGGUGACUGUGAGGAUAGUGCCACAGAAAUAUACCGCCCUGGUCAUUCUGGCCAAGGUAAGGGUGCAAUGGUGUGGUAAGAGCACACCAGCAGUAUCGUGAGGUACUGGCUAGGUAAACCCCGGUGGGGAGCAAGGUCGGAGGAGCAAUGGUUGAUCUUUUUCCAGUUCCGUUUUUGGUGAACCGCUAGAGGCUCAGGGUAACUUGAGUCCAAGAUAGAUAACUGCCCUGAAUUUAAUUCAGAACAGAACCCGGCUUACGUCCUACUCUUCAU
rnacentral:RNase_P_RNA from 1 species